CAGAGGGUAGUUUAAAGUUAGAAUCCUAGCUUUGGGAGCUAGGGGUAGGGGUUAAAGUCCCCUUUCUCUGA
rnacentral:tRNA from 7 species